GACGAACGCUGGCGGCGUGCCUAAUACAUGCAAGUCGCACGCUGGCGAGAGGAGCUCGCUCUACUUGCGUGAGUUGCGAACGGGUGAGUAACGCGUAGGUAACCUGCCUUGUCGCGGCGGCUAACUAUCCGAACCGAUAGCUAAUACCGCACAACAAUGGUUGACACACGUCAUUUAUUUGAAAGGGGCAAUUGCUCCACUACAAGAUGGACCUGCGUUGUAUUAGCUAGUAGGUGAGGUAAUGGCUCACCUAGGCGCCGAUAAUUAGCCUACUGGGUAGGGAGAGCAGGGACACUGGGACUGAGACACGGCCCAGGCCCCGACGGGUGGCAGCAGUAGGGGAGCGGCGGAAAUGGGGGUAAGCCUGAGCGAGAAACGGCGCAGGAGUGAAGAAGGUUUUCGGAUUGUAAAGCGCUGUCUGAUGUUAAGAGCGGGUAUGAGAGUGGAAAGGUGAGACUUUGACGGUACCUUACGAAAAAGGAACGGCUAACUACGUG
rnacentral:rRNA from 1 species